AGAAAGUGUCCACGACUGAGCUCCUUGGAAAUCCACUACUGAGAGGGGGACAAAGACAAGAGUGGGAGAAAUGCAUUUUCAUAAAUGAAGGAGAAGUGGAGUCCAUAAUUAGCUCAGCUGUUCCGAAACUGCCUAUGACUUCAUGGACAGAGGAGACAGAGGCUACUCCUUCAGACUAGUCCCACAAUGAGAAGAGGUGCGGAGCUGUGGUUAAUCCACCAUGACAUGAGCCACGAGGGAGAAAUGGACCUCUGCUCUUGUAAGCUAAGAGCGAGAUGAAAUUAAGAGGCCAGCUUGUUGGGAAGUCAGUUCACUGUGUCGCGCAGAUCUAAGACAAAUGUUGGAGCAAUUGCUGUUCCUGAAAACAUAC
rnacentral:lncRNA from 1 species